rnacentral:rRNA from 1 species
CGGGACGGGGUGAGUAAUGUCUAGGGGAAAACUCGACGGAGGGGGAUAACUACUGGAAACGGUAGCUAAUACCGCAUAACGUCGCAAGACCAAAGAGGGGGACCUUAGGGCCUCUUGCCAUCGGAUGUGCCCAGAUGGGAUUAGCUAGUAGGUGGGGUAAUGGCUCACCUAGGCGACGAUCCCUAGCUGGUCUGAGAGGAUGACCAGCCACACUGGAACUGAGACACGGUCCAG